rnacentral:rRNA from 1 species
GAUGAACGCUGGCGGCGUGCCUAAUACAUGCAAGUCGAGCGAACAGACGAGGAGCUUGCUCCUCUGACGUUAGCGGCGGACGGGUGAGUAACACGUGGAUAACCUACCUAUAAGACUGGGAUAACUUCAGGAAACCGGAGCUAAUACCGGAUAAUAUAUUGAACCGCAUGGUUCAAUAGUGAAAGACGGUUUUGCUGUCACUUAUAGAUGGAUCCGCGCCGCAUUAGCUAGUUGGUAAGGUAACGGCUUACCAAGGCAACGAUGCGUAGCCGACCUGAGAGGGUGAUCGGCCACACUGGAACUGAGACACGGUCCAGACUCCUACGGGAGGCAGCAGUAGGGAAUCUUCCGCAAUGGGCGAAAGCCUGACGGAGCAACGCCGCGUGAGUGAUGAAGGUCUUCGGAUCGUAAAACUCUGUUAUUAGGGAAGAACAAAUGUGUAAGUAACUAUGCACGUCUUGACGGUACCUAAUCAGAAAGCCACGGCUAACUACGUG